rnacentral:ncRNA from 1 species
ACUUUGGUUGAUCCUGCCCAAGGAAGCACACUUAGGUCAUAGAUUAAGCCAUGCAAGUGUUAGUUCAGGUAACGAAACUGCGAAUAGCUCAUUAAUACGCUCAGAAUCUAUUUGGCGGCGACCAACAGGUCUUAAAUGGAUAGCAGCAGCAACUCUGGUGCUAAUACAUGCGAUUGUUUCUCCAGAUGUGAAUUAUGGAGGAAAAGUUGACCUCAUCAGAGGCACGCCAUUCGACUGAGUGACCUAUCAGCUUGUACUUAGGGUCUUUACCUAGGUAGGCUAUCACGGGUAACGGGCGGUUACCGUCGGACUGCCGGAGAAGGCGCCUGAGAGAUAGCGACUAUAUCCACGGGUAGCAGCAGGCGCGAAACUUUCCCACUCGAGACUUUCGGAGGAGGUAAUGACCAGUUCCAUUGGUGCCUUUUGGUACUGUGGAUAGGGGUACGGUUUUCCACCGUACCGAAACCUAGCAGAGGGCCAGUCUGGUGCCAGCAGCUGCGGUAAUUCCAGCUCUGCGAGUUUGCUCCCAUAUUGUUGCAGUUAAAACGCCCGUAGUCUGAAUUGGCCAGCAAUGGUCGUACGUAUUUUUACGUUCACUGUGAACAAAUCAGGACGCUUAGAGUAUGGCCACAUGAAUGACUCAGCGCAGUAUGAAGUCUUUGUUUUCUUCCGAAAACAAGCUCAAUGAGAGCCAUCGGGGGUAGAUCUAUCUCAUGACGAGUGGUGGAAUACUUUGACUCAUGAGAGAGAAGCUGAGGCGAAGGCGUCUACCUAGAGGGUUUCUGUCGAUCAAGGGCGAGAGUAGGAGUAUCCAACAGGAUUAGAGACCCUGGUAGUUCCUACCUUAAACGAUGCCGACAGGAGUUUGUCAUUUGUUAAUGGCAGAAUCUUUGGAGAAAUCAUAGUUCUUGGGCUCUGGGGGAACUACGACCGCAAGGCUGAAACUUGAAGGAAUUGACGGAAGGGCACACCAGGGGGGAGCC